rnacentral:sRNA from 12 species
UAAACCGCAGGCGGUUGAAAUACCGCUAAGUCACCAUUAUUGGAAAGACGAGUUGAAAUAAGUCCGGUACAGGGUUUUGUUAGUACCAAAAGGUGGGAAAGCAAGAUAGGAGAUAGAA